rnacentral:lncRNA from 1 species
GGGAACUGAAGCCAGGGCUUUGGACAUGCUGGAACCAACACUGGUUUGGAGGAUGAUGCCUGAGAUUCCACCAGCCCUUGGGAGUCGGGCCAGGACUGCUACGAUCUUGUCUCAAAAGAACAACACGGAGACAGUGAGAUGGCUCAGCAGGUACAAGCGGCUGCUCUUGCAUGAGGACCCGAGUUUGAUCUGCAGAUCCCACAGUGAAAGAAGAGCCAAUUCAAGAUUGUCCUCUGACCCCAACUAAAUGUGACUGCCAUACAGGGAGAAGACAGUUCACAGAUCAUAAUAAAACCUAAAAGGAAACCUAUCUACAUUAAGAUAAAGACUAUAAUAAAG